CGAGUGAGCGGCAAAAGCUCAAAUUUGAAAUCUGGCACUUUCAGUGUCCGAGUUGUAAUUUGAAGAAGGUAUCUUUGGGUCUGGCUCUUGUCUAUGUUUCUUGGAACAGAACGUCACAGAGGGUGAGAAUCCCGUGCGAUGAGAUGUCCCAGACCUAUGUAAAGUUCCUUCGAAGAGUCGAGUUGUUUGGGAAUGCAGCUCUAAGUGGGUGGUAAAUUCCAUCUAAAGCUAAAUAUUGGCGAGAGACCGAUAGCGAACAAGUACAGUGAUGGAAAGAUGAAAAGAACUUUGAAAAGAGAGUGAAAAAGUACGUGAAAUUGUUGAAAGGGAAGGGCUUGAGAUCAGACUUGGUAUUUUGUAUGUUACUCUCUCGGGGGUGGCCUCUACAGUUUACCGGGCCAGCAUCAGUUUGAGCGGUAGGAUAAGUGCAAAGAAAUGUGGCACUGCUUCGGUAGUGUGUUAUAGUCUUUGUCGAUACUGCCAGCUUAGACUGAGGACUGCGGCUUCGGCCUAGGAUGUUGGCAUAAUGAUCUUAAGUCGCCCGUCUUA
rnacentral:rRNA from 1 species